AUCUAACUGAUGAGUCCCAAAUAGGACAAAAUGUGCGUUUCGGAU
rnacentral:hammerhead_ribozyme from 1 species